GCACACAUUUUAUUUGAAAGCAUUGAAUAAGUAGCUCAGGCUCUCGCUCAGACUUAAGGGGCUGAUGAACUACGCCCCCGCCGCAACCAGCUUUCUCUGCACCCCAAUCCAGCCCCGCUCCAGACGACGGGCUUAGAUUCUGCUAUCACGUAGGCAGUGAGCCUGGGGAAGAUGCGAUGCCUCCCUUGAAACCAUCAAGACAGAUAUCCGCUGGUUUUAGGGUGUCCCCCAAGGCAAGCAUCUGGGACGCCUCCGGCAUAUGCUCGCCCUCGGGGCCCGACCAGGAGGCUCCAGCUUUGCAAGGCGCCACCGCCCAGAGCUCAGGUCUGGGUUGGAAGGGUGGGCGGCACCGCCUCAGGGUACGUUCUCCCGACUUCGGAGAGAAAGAAAGGAAGAAAUGCACCCUAGGAAAAGGGGCUUCGACUUUUUGUGCCUGUGCUUUCAUGGAAGUCACCAGCUCUCGGCUGCUUAAGAUGCUACUCAGAAGCGCGCCCAGCCAGGCUGUGGCCAUCCGCGCCAAGUCCUCGUGUCCUGGUCGACGAGCACUUUGGGUAGCACCGCGACACACAAUAGCCACCACGGUUAGGAGAUAUGCUCGCUAUGCUUACCUGUUGGCAAAAAUAAAAUGCAAAAUAAAAAUUUAAAUUUGGAAACUAACACAUGGUGACAUCUUCUAGAACCACAGCUCUUUCUUCAGACAAAAGCCAAUUUUACCAUCCCGCAAACCCAUUGAGCCCUGGAAGUUCCGUUCGCGGCACUUUGGCGCCCUCUGGCUUUAUCAGGGUGGCUUGCUUGUUCUGCUUCGUCCUGAAAGAAUAGCGGAGGGGGGGGGGAAUGGAAAUGUAUGUUGCCUUCUUGGUUGGAUCUCCCCUCAUGAGUGAAGCACAGAUUUGGGAUGAGCUUGCCCUCCACGUCCGGAAUAACGAAACACAACUACAUUUAGGGAGACGAAUGCCAAAGGGAGGAGUGGAGGAGCCAUCGUGGGCCAGGUGCCAGAUAAAAUACUGGUGAUUUAAGCUCCAAAGAUACAACCCAAGAACUGACGAAGCUCUGACACAGUGAUGUAGGGGAAGAAACCAAACACCAGCACUGACUCCCUUCGCUGUGCACCGCUGCAAAGACCUCUGGGAGAUUGGCUCUAGAAAUCCCCGCUGCUGGCGACUGUCAGCAGUUACAUGAAGGCAUGGGGGAGCCUCGACUCUACUUACAAAGCCUGACCUGUGCUUCGGAUAUUCCUGUGUUUCCAAGAUGCCUUUCCAGACUAGAACCCAGACAUGUGAGCCGCUGGCCGAACACAACAGUCUUCCUUUAGUAUCUUCACAUGGCCAGGAGCAGAAAGGAAGAGCCACCUUCUCUCCAGUCUCCACUGUAGUACCAUUGACCCCCAUUAGGAAGACCCCACCUGUAUGAUCUAAUCUGACCCUACUAUGAUACCUCCCAAAGACGCCACUCUUCACUGGAUGCUAGAAAUUCAACAUGUAAACCAUGAGGCAAGAGGGACGCCAAUCUGAGUGCAGUCAUCAUGUCCUCUUCCCUUUGACCAAUGUCUGAUGGGAAGCAGCCUAAAGAGGAAGAGGUUACAGUUCAAGGGAUACAGCCCAUGAUGGUGGAUAAGGCAUAAGCACAGAGCCAGCUCUUGCCUGUGGAGGUGGGAGUGGGAGGCUGCUUGUUCACCUCUGGACACACCAGGAAGCAGACAGUUGGUUCAGGCAAUGACUUAUAAGGUCCACCACCAGUAACCUACUUUUUCCAGCAAGAUACCACGCCUUAGAGACUCCAUGACCUCCUAAAAUAGGACGAUUUACUCAAGCCUCCGCAGGACAUUUCACUUCAACCCACAGCAAUGUCGGCCAUAGGGCAUCCAAGAUGUACUUCAUGUGGCAUCAGCAAUACAAUCCAUGCAACACUAGUAAUGCAUGUGGGAUCUCGUCAGUAGGUUUUCACUACAAUUACUCAGCAAAUACUUUAACAACACCUUCCUGUCUUAUCAAGGUCAUUCUCAAAUCUCUGCUGUUUCUCAGUGUAGAGAUUAAAAAUGCCAUCUAAUGCAGUAA
rnacentral:lncRNA from 1 species